rnacentral:rRNA from 1 species
AUUGAACGCUGGCGGCAUGCCUUACACAUGCAAGUCGAACGGCAGCAUAGGAGCUUGCUCCUGAUGGCGAGUGGCGAACGGGUGAGUAAUAUAUCGGAACGUGCCCUAGAGUGGGGGAUAACUAGUCGAAAGACUAGCUAAUACCGCAUACGAUCUUCGGAUGAAAGUGGGGGAUCGCAAGACCUCAUGCUCCUGGAGCGGCCGAUAUCUGAUUAGCUAGUUGGUGGGGUAAAAGCCUACCAAGGCAACGAUCAGUGGCUGGUCUGAGAGGACGACCAGCCACACUGGGACUGAGACACGGCCCAGACUCCUACGGGAGGCAGCAGUGGGGAAUUUUGGACAAUGGGGGCAACCCUGAUCCAGCAAUGCCGCGUGAGUGAAGAAGGCCUUCGGGUUGUAAAGCUCUUUUGUCAGGGAAGAAACGGUAGUAGCGAAUAACUAUUACUAAUGACGGUACCUGAAGAAUAAGCACCGGCUAACUACGUGCCAGCCGCCGCCGUAACAC